GGGGUUGUGGCUCAAUGGUAGAGUGCUCACUUAGCAUGUGUGAGGCCCUGAGUUAAAUCCUCAGCACCACA
rnacentral:tRNA from 1 species